rnacentral:rRNA from 1 species
ACUCCUACGGGAGGCAGCAGUGGGGAAUAUUGCACAAUGGGGGAAACCCUGAUGCAGCAACGCCGCGUGGAGGAUGACGCAUUUCGGUGUGUAAACUCCUUUUAUGUGGGAAGAUAAUGACGGUACCAUAUGAAUAAGCACCGGCUAACUCCGUGCCAGCAGCCGCGGUAAUACGGAGGGUGCAAGCGUUACUCGGAAUCACUGGGCGUAAAGCGCGCGCAGGCGGGCUAAUAAGUUGGAUGUGAAAGCCUACGGCUCAACCGUAGAACUGCAUCCAAAACUGUUAGUCUAGAGUCUGGGAGGGGAAGAUGGAAUUAGUUGUGUAGGGGUAAAAUCCGUAGAGAUAACUAGGAAUACCAAAAGCGAAGGCGAUCUUCUGGAACAGUACUGACGCUGAGGCGCGAAAGCGUGGGGAGCAAACAGGAUUAGAUACCCUGGUAGUCCACGCCCCAAACGAUGAAUGUUAGUCGUUGGAGUCCUAGUGACUUCAGUGAUGCAGCUAACGCAUUAAACAUUCCGCCUGGGGAGUACGGUCGCAAGAUUAAAACUCAAAGGAAUAGACGGGGACCCGCACAAGUGGUGGAGCAUGUGGUUUAAUUCGAAGAUACGCGAAGAACCUUACCUGGCCUUGACAUUGAUGAAACCCGGUAGAGAUACUGGGGUGCCCUUUUAGGGAGCCUGAAAACAGGUGCUGCACGGCUGUCGUCAGCUCGUGUCGUGAGAUGUUGGGUUAAGUCCCGCAACGAGCGCAACCCUCGUCACUAGUUACUAACGGUUCGGCCGAGGACUCUAGUGAGACUGCCUUCGCAAGGAGGAGGAAGGUGAGGACGACGUCAAGUCAUCAUGGGCCCUUAUGGCCAGGGCAACACACGUGCUACAAUGGGGGUGUACAAUGAGACGCGAUACCGCGAGGGUGGA